rnacentral:rRNA from 1 species
UUCGUAGGCGGUGCGGUAAGUCGGAAGUGAAAUCUCUGGGCUUAACUCAGAGGCUGCUUUCGAAACUGCCGUGCUAGAGUGCGGGAGAGGCGAGUGGAAUUACAGGUGUAGCGGUGAAAUGCGUAGAUAUCUGUAGGAACACCCGUGGCGAAGGCGGCUCGCUGGACCGCACUGACGCUGAGGAACGAAAGCUAGGGAGCAAACA